UCUCGGUGAUGAUGGAAUGCGAUGACGAGUCCGAUUUCCAUUCUUUCAAAUCGAGGCAUUUGUGUGAGAGAA
rfam:Gossypium raimondii Chr11_contig_279, whole genome shotgun sequence.